rnacentral:rRNA from 1 species
AUUGAACGCUGGCGGCACGCUUAACACAUGCAAGUCGGACGGCAGCAUGAUAGUUACUUUCGGGUAAUUAUUGAUGGCGAGUGGCGAACGGGUGAGUAACACGUAGGAAUAUACCUUGAAGAGGGGGAUAACUUGGGGAAACCCAAGCUAAUACCGCAUAUGCUCUAAGGAGCGAAGCCGGGGACUUUCGGGCCUGGCGCUUUGAGAAUAGCCUGCGUCUGAUUAGCUAGUUGGUGGGGUAAAGGCCUACCAAGGCGACGAUCAGUAGCUGGUCUGAGAGGAUGGACAGCCACACUGGGACUGAGACACGGCCCAG